rnacentral:lncRNA from 1 species
AACCAAGUAUAAUUAGCUAACUUUACAAAAGGUAGAACACAAAAAAUACAUACAUGCAGAAAAUAGAGAAACAACAUGUUGAGCAUAAGACCCUUUACUUUACAGCUUACACCAAGUAUAUUCUUUACAACUUACAUCAUGUAUCCUUCAAUAUAUACCUGAAAAUAUUUGAAAUUUAAAAAUUAUCGAAAUAUGUGAGUUAAAAUAAAACAAUUAUAAAUCCGAAACAUAAGACCCCUUACUUUAUCAUGAAUUAUCUAAAAAAUAAAAGAGCACGCAUAUUUGUAUGUAGGGGGGGGAAUAAUUUAGAUUGAAAAGUGAUACCAGUUGACAAUCUUUAUUUUUUGUUCCUUGGGUAGAAGAAGUUGAUUUUUGUUUCCCCGUAAAUUUGGCAUUCGCCAAAGCAUCAGA